UGGGGAAUUGUUCGCAAUGGGCGCAAGCCUGACGACGCAACGCCGCGUGGAGGAUGAAGAUCUUCGGGUCGUAAACUCCUGUCGAGCGGGACGAACACUUACCUGGCUAACAUCCGGGUAGGCUGACGGUACCGCUAAAGGAAGCCCCGGCUAACUCCGUGCCAGCAGCCGCGGUAAUACGGGGGGGGCAAGCGUUGUUCGGAAUUACUGGGCGUAAAGGGCUCGUAGGCGGCCAACUAAGUCGGACGUGAAAUCCCCAGGCUCAACCUGGGAACUGCGUCUGAUACUGGAUGGCUUGAAUCCGGGAGAGGGAUGCAGAAUUCCAGGUGUAGCGGUGAAAUGCGUAGAUAUCUGGAGGAAUACCGGUGGCGAAGGCGGCAUCCUGGACCGGCAUUGACGCUGAGGAGCGAAAGCCAGGGGAGCAAACGGGAUUAGAUACCCCGGUAGUCCUGGCCCUAAACGAUGAAUGCUUGGUGUAACGGGUAUCGAUCCCUGUUGUGCCGAAGCUAACGCAUUAAGCAUUCCGCCUGGGGAGUACGGUCGCAAGGCUGA
rnacentral:rRNA from 1 species